UUUUUUCUUGUUGCUAAGCAGCUAACUGCAUACGGCUCUGGCCCAUUCCGUGCGGCCCAAAGGGCGGAAUGGCCACCUCUCUCUCCUCGCAUUCGCAUGGGAGGAAUGUGACUACGUGUUUUCACGAGCACGGCACUGGGGUGUUCUUCCACUUCUGCCCAAAAAUUGGAAAAGCUUUAAGCUUUGGUGGUCAGAUCCACAGUCGCUGUGCUCGAAAAACCUGUGAAUCUUCGAUUCCUUGUUUUUUUUAUCUCCAAACAAUGCAUCGAUCGUCGCGCGCUUCUUCGCUGACACCUGGUUCUUAAAUCACAGGAGAAUUGGUUUGUUUUCUUCUCGAGUGGUGGAAACCAAGAAACAACCUACCAUGGGAAAAGAAACUCGGCAAAAGACCUAAAAGAGAGAACCCAGUAAAACUUACACUCUCGCUCGCUCAAUCGACAGUAGAAGAUCGAUCGAUCGAUCGAUCGAUGUAUGGACAGCUACUUCUUCUUCUUCGGCGAUGAUGAUCCACCGGAGGUGGGAUUCCCGCCCUUGAUAUACCAGCCGAGGGAGAAGAAGAAGAACCCUGCUAGCAGCGCGCUGCCCCAAGCAUUGCUGUAGUACUUGGCGUAUGUCCUGGUAGCGUAGCGCCACUGCUCGCGCAGUGUCUGCGGAUCCGGAUUGACAGGAUCGGGAGGAUUUGGAACAAAGCCCCCAGCCGGCACCGCCAUAGCUCGCUUUGCUCUGACCUAAAAUCCAAGAAAAUUCAUAUAUCGAACCUUGGACCUCGAGUGAGAGAGAAUCUCCG
rnacentral:lncRNA from 1 species